UGCAAUGAUCACAUCACUGGAAUGUACCCAAUUUCAUAAGAUUCCGGAAGCUAAGCAGAGUUGAGUCUGGAUAGUGCUUUGAUGGGCGACCAUCAUGCGUUCAACAGGUCUUGUAGGCU
rnacentral:rRNA from 1 species